UACGGGGGGGGCAAGCGUUGUUCGGAAUUACUGGGCGUAAAGGGCUCGUAGGCGGCCAACUAAGUCAGACGUGAAAUCCCUCGGCUUAACCGGGGAACUGCGUCUGAUACUGGAUGGCUUGAGGUUGGGAGAGGGAUGCGGAAUUCCAGGUGUAGCGGUGAAAUGCGUAGAUAUCUGGAGGAACACCGGUGGCGAAGGCGGCAUCCUGGACCAAUUCGUGACGCUGAGGAGCGAAAGCCGGGGAGCAAAGCGGG
rnacentral:rRNA from 1 species